rnacentral:rRNA from 1 species
UACGGGGGGGGCAAGCGUUGUUCGGAAUUACUGGGCGUAAAGGGCUCGUAGGCGGCCAACUAAGUCGGAUGUGAAAUCCCCAGGCUUAACCUGGGAACUGCAUCCGAUACUGGAUGGCUUGAAUCCGGCAGAGGGAUGCAGAAUUCCAGGUGUAGCGGUGAGAUGCGUAGAUAUCUGGAGGAAUACCGGUGGCGAAGGCGGCAUCCUGGACCGGCAUUGACGCUGAUGAGCGAAAGCUAGGGGAGCAAACGGG